rnacentral:lncRNA from 1 species
AUGAAGUAUUAGAAACUCUUUCUAAUUUUCUUCCUGCUUUUGGCCAAAAGACUUUUUCUGAAUGAUCUAGGAAUGAGAAUAUAUAGGAUGCGAUCUCCUCUUAUUAGGAGUGAUCGAUUCCAUGUUGACCUACUCAUAACCUUCAUACACACUCCACCAUAUCCAGAACACCCUGUAUAUAUCUUAAUGCCAUAUUUGGGUAUGAACCAAAAUAUGGGUUCAUGUAUAUAAGAUUCCAUGGU